GAUUAAGUUAUUAAGGGCGCACGGUGGAUGCCUUGGCACUAGAAGCCGAUGAAGGACGUUACUAACGACGAUAUGCUUUGGGGAGCUGUAAGUAAGCUUUGAUCCAGAGAUUUCCGAAUGGGGAAACCCAGCAUGAGUUAUGUCAUGUUAUCGAUAUGUGAAUACAUAGCAUAUCAGAAGGCACACCCGGAGAACUGAAACAUCUUAGUACCCGGAGGAAGAGAAAGAAAAUUCGAUUCCCUUAGUAGCGGCGAGCGAAACGGGAAGAGCCCAAACCAACAAGCUUGCUUGUUGGGGUUGUAGGACACUCUAUACGGAGUUACAAAGGACGACAUUAGACGAAUCAUCUGGAAAGAUGAAUCAAAGAAGGUAAUAAUCCUGUAGUCGAAAAUGUUGUCUCUCUUGAGUGGAUCCUGAGUACGACGGAGCACGUGAAAUUCCGUCGGAAUCUGGGAGGACCAUCUCCUAAGGCUAAAUACUCUCUAGUGACCGAUAGUGAACCAGUACCGUGAGGGAAAGGUGAAAAGCACCCCGGAAGGGGAGUGAAAUAGAACCUGAAACCGUGUGCUUACAAGUAGUCAGAGCCCGUUAAUGGGUGAUGGCGUGCCUUUUGUAGAAUGAACCGGCGAGUUACGAUUUGAUGCAAGGUUAAGCAGUAAAUGUGGAGCCGUAGCGAAAGCGAGUCUGAAUAGGGCGUUUAGUAUUUGGUCGUAGACCCGAAACCAGGUGAUCUACCCUUGGUCAGGUUGAAGUUCAGGUAACACUGAAUGGAGGACCGAACCGACUUACGUUGAAAAGUGAGCGGAUGAACUGAGGGUAGCGGAGAAAUUCCAAUCGAACCUGGAGAUAGCUGGUUCUCUCCGAAAUAGCUUUAGGGCUAGCCUCAAGUGAUGAUUAUUGGAGGUAGAGCACUGUUUGGACGAGGGGCCCCUCUCGGGUUACCGAAUUCAGACAAACUCCGAAUGCCAAUUAAUUUAACUUGGGAGUCAGAACAUGGGUGAUAAGGUCCGUGUUCGAAAGGGAAACAGCCCAGACCACCAGCUAAGGUCCCAAAAUAUAUGUUAAGUGGAAAAGGAUGUGGCGUUGCCCAGACAACUAGGAUGUUGGCUUAGAAGCAGCCAUCAUUUAAAGAGUGCGUAAUAGCUCACUAGUCGAGUGACACUGCGCCGAAAAUGUACCGGGGCUAAACAUAUUACCGAAGCUGUGGAUUGUCCUUUGGACAAUGGUAGGAGAGCGUUCUAAGGGCGUUGAAGCAUGAUCGUAAGGACAUGUGGAGCGCUUAGAAGUGAGAAUGCCGGUGUGAGUAGCGAAAGACGGGUGAGAAUCCCGUCCACCGAUUGACUAAGGUUUCCAGAGGAAGGCUCGUCCGCUCUGGGUUAGUCGGGUCCUAAGCUGAGGCCGACAGGCGUAGGCGAUGGAUAACAGGUUGAUAUUCCUGUACCACCUAUAAUCGUUUUAAUCGAUGGGGGGACGCAGUAGGAUAGGCGAAGCGUGCGAUUGGAUUGCACGUCUAAGCAGUAAGGCUGAGUAUUAGGCAAAUCCGGUACUCGUUAAGGCUGAGCUGUGAUGGGGAGAAGACAUUGUGUCUUCGAGUCGUUGAUUUCACACUGCCGAGAAAAGCCUCUAGAUAGAAAAUAGGUGCCCGUACCGCAAACCGACACAGGUAGUCAAGAUGAGAAUUCUAAGGUGAGCGAGCGAACUCUCGUUAAGGAACUCGGCAAAAUGACCCCGUAACUUCGGGAGAAGGGGUGCUCUUUAGGGUUAACGCCCAGAAGAGCCGCAGUGAAUAGGCCCAAGCGACUGUUUAUCAAAAACACAGGUCUCUGCUAAACCGUAAGGUGAUGUAUAGGGGCUGACGCCUGCCCGGUGCUGGAAGGUUAAGAGGAGUGGUUAGCUUCUGCGAAGCUACGAAUCGAAGCCCCAGUAAACGGCGGCCGUAACUAUAACGGUCCUAAGGUAGCGAAAUUCCUUGUCGGGUAAGUUCCGACCCGCACGAAAGGCGUAACGAUUUGGGCACUGUCUCAACGAGAGACUCGGUGAAAUCAUAGUACCUGUGAAGAUGCAGGUUACCCGCGACAGGACGGAAAGACCCCGUGGAGCUUUACUGUAGCCUGAUAUUGAAAUUCGGCACAGCUUGUACAGGAUAGGUAGGAGCCUUUGAAACGUGAGCGCUAGCUUACGUGGAGGCGCUGGUGGGAUACUACCCUAGCUGUGUUGGCUUUCUAACCCGCACCACUUAUCGUGGUGGGAGACAGUGUCAGGCGGGCAGUUUGACUGGGGCGGUCGCCUCCUAAAAGGUAACGGAGGCGCUCAAAGGUUCCCUCAGAAUGGUUGGAAAUCAUUCAUAGAGUGUAAAGGCAUAAGGGAGCUUGACUGCGAGACCUACAAGUCGAGCAGGGUCGAAAGACGGACUUAGUGAUCCGGUGGUUCCGCAUGGAAGGGCCAUCGCUCAACGGAUAAAAGCUACCCCGGGGAUAACAGGCUUAUCUCCCCCAAGAGUUCACAUCGACGGGGAGGUUUGGCACCUCGAUGUCGGCUCAUCGCAUCCUGGGGCUGUAGUCGGUCCCAAGGGUUGGGCUGUUCGCCCAUUAAAGCGGUACGCGAGCUGGGUUCAGAACGUCGUGAGACAGUUCGGUCCCUAUCCGUCGUGGGCGUAGGAAAUUUGAGAGGAGCUGUCCUUAGUACGAGAGGACCGGGAUGGACAUACCUCUGGUGUACCAGUUGUCGUGCCAACGGCAUAGCUGGGUAGCUAUGUGUGGACGGGAUAAGUGCUGAAAGCAUCUAAGCAUGAAGCCCCCCCUCAAGAUGAGAUUUCCCAACUUCGGUUAUAAGAUCCCUCAAAGAUGAUGAGGUUAAUAGGUUCGAGGUGGAAGCAUGGUGACAUGUGGAGCUGACGAAUACUAAUCGAUCGAAGACUUAAUCAA
rnacentral:rRNA from 1 species